UGCAGUCGAGCGGUAAGGCACCUUCGGGUGUACACGAGCGGCGAACGGGUGAGUAACACGUGAGUAAUCUGCCCUUCACUUCGGGAUAACCGCCGGAAACGGUGGCUAAUACCGGAUACGACGCACUCCUGCAUGGGAUGUGCGUGGAAAGUCUUAUCGGUGAAGGAUGUGCUCGCGGCCUAUCAGCUAGUUGGUGAGGUAACGGCUCACCAAGGCUUCGACGGGUAGCCGGCCUGAGAGGGUGACCGGCCACACUGGGACUGAGACACGGCCCAGACUCCUACGGGAGGCAGCAGUGGGGAAUAUUGGACAAUGGGCGAAAGCCUGAUCCAGCAACGCCGCGUGAGGGAUGACGGCCUUCGGGUUGUAAACCUCUUUCAGUACCGACGAAGCGCCAACAACGGUGGUGACGGUAGGUACAGAAGAAGGACCGGCCAACUACGUGCCANCAGCCGCGGUAAUACGUAGGGUCCGAGCGUUGUCCGGAAUUAUUGGGCGUAAAGGGCUCGUANGCGGUUUGUUGCGUCNGGAGUGAAAACUUACAGCUUAACUGUGAGCGUGCUUCCGAUACGGGCANACUUGAGGUAUUCANGGGAGAACGGAAUUCCUGGUGUANCGGUGAAAUGCGCANAUAUCANGAGGAACACCGGUGGCGAANGCGGUUCUCUGGGAAUAUCCUGACGCUGAGGAGCGAAAGUGUGGGGAGCGAACAGGAUUANAUACCCUGGUAGUCCNCACCGUANACGUUGGGCGCUAGGUGUGGGAUCCAUUCCACGGG
rnacentral:rRNA from 1 species